rnacentral:lncRNA from 1 species
CAAACUUCAUGAAAGCCUUCCUCUCUCGCAAUGACAUUGAUGAUCCCAGGUGCCUUAAAGACACAGUCAACAGUGUGCAGUGGGUCAACAGAAACUUUGGGCCAUUCGUUCAGUCAGCUCCCCUAAAGGACCUUGAGGCACUGAACAGAAACUUCAGUGCGGUGGAUGUUCUCCCUCAGUUGGGUAUGAGACAACUAUUUGAGUUUUCUGUCACUCCUCGUGUACUAACUGAUUCUCGAAGCGUCAUCAAUGUCAUGCAGAAUGUUAAGGACUGCCAGCUUCCUGCUUUCUUUAACCUCUUUUCCCCGAAAGUGCAGGACAUCCCGCUCACACAAGAUGUAAAAGCAGCACUGAUUAAACAGAUAUUUGACAGAGCCAGCCUGUCUAAUCUAAGCAUCACUAAUCAGGAAGUUGUAGUCUGGAUCCAGAAGAGACUAAAUCCUCUGUUAGCCAACCUUUCAGAAAGCCUUGUGUCUCCAUAUUUCACCAUCCUCAACACAAGGGACUGCGGUAUCACUCAAACCGCACUGGGACUCUUAGAUGCUGCUCGACCUUCAUUACCCAUAAACACCAAAAAUGCAAUCUACAAUAGCAUUCUUCAAUCCUUCAUAGGGCCACAGCCUCUGAGGUGCUACAGAAACAACAGCUUUAUCAAGUUCUUAAACGAAAGCCUGUACGGCUUUGGGCCGCUUCCAAAUCUGACCACCUUCCUCUCUCUGAUACCACCAACACGGAAAUCUGAGCUUGUGAACUCUAUAGCUCCUUCUGAGCUGGGAAGCUACUUGAGACAGCCGGAAGUGGUGAACAACGAUUCACAAAUCUGUGUGAUCUUUAACAACUUUACCAAAACCCCUGAGUUCUUGGAGACCGAAGAGGUUCCAGAUAAUGUUAAAAGCACCAUCCUUCCCUGUGUCUGGCCUCUGGCGUUGACAAGUGACAAUGAGACAGAGGUUGAUCUGUGGUUUAACCGUAGACUGAAGCCCUACUUGAAGUUCCUGAACAAAGAUCUAAUAGGAUCAAAAGACACACUGAGCGCAUCUUGCCAAUCAUACAAGAAAAUGGUCGGUGUUUUAGGUAGCAAUUUCACCUUUAAUGGUUCUCAGGUUACCACUAAGGAUGUGUACGCCACCAUCAAGACAUAUCUGACAGCAGACACUGAAGCAAAAUGCUACAACCCCUCUGACGCAAGAUUGAAUUCAACUGCGUGGUUUGUCAACAACAUUGGUGUAUUUAUAACUUUAUUGACUCUGGACGAUCUCUACUCUUUCGGCCCUGAGAAAACGAUGAAACUCUUCGCUGUGAACCCUGAUAACAUAAAGCUGUUCAAUCAAAAGGCACUUCCGAAGAAAGUCAUCAGCCGCUACACUGAACUCGUCUUUCUACAAAACCCCAAC